GUGCUUAAAAUUUGUUUGGAACUUUCUUUCUGAAUCUGUUCAUGAAUCAUACAAGUUAAUCAGUCACAUGAUGAUGUCACCAAUCCUCUUAUAUCUUUCUCCUUCUUAUUAUCUUUCUUGUUUUUUAACCCCAAACAAGAUGGAUCACUUAUUUCUGCAGCAAUAUUGGGACUGAGUGAGAAGUAAACCUUCUCAAUAUCUGAUAACUUAAUCUAAAUGAAGAUUUCCCAAGGGGGGUGCCCUUCGAGAGUAGUUUUGAAGAAAAGAAUGAUCAUGGAGAUAUAAUGAAUACAGAUCCUUCUGAAGGUGAUGCCUCUCAAUGUGAAUACUUUAUUUGAAAAUGUCAUCUAUAAUUGAGGACAAGUUAGCAAGAGUCCAGAGGCUGAGUGUGACUUUGAUCUUGGUGUCCAGCCUUUCUGGGUGCAAAUCGUUCUGAGGAGAAAGAGGAUACCAGUAAGACAUAAUGUCCAGGUAUUAUUGAACUGAGGAUAUUUUCAAGAAGAAAAUGAUCUCAUUGUUACUUGCUCAUUUUUCUAGAGCUAUUUUCUCUCAUCAACAGACCAUUGUCCGACUUGGUUCUGGGGAUUUAACCACUACGAGGAAUUUACCACUGAGCUACAGCUCCAAGC